UUCAAAUCGCCAAAAGCUUACCUUGGUUUGUAAUCACCUGCGAAAGCCAUUGCAAAACAAUGAUCGUUCCUGCACUUGCGGUCCUUCUUUUAAUGGCGACCUUAGUGGCACCUUCAACAGGAGCGCCUGCUGAAAAAAGCUCACCGAACAGAUGUUUGGCAGUCAAGUGUCUCAAGCCUCAUUGCAAACCUCCGAUGAUAUCGGCCAGUUGCGGAUGCAACUGUGUUCUGCCAGACAAGAAGUCCACUUGAGACUUUAAAAAGCACAUCGCUUGCUCGUACGUAUAUUUCAC